rnacentral:rRNA from 1 species
AUUGAACGCUGGCGGCAGGCCUAACACAUGCAAGUCGAGCGGCAGCGGGAAAGUAGCUUGCUACUUUUGCCGGCGAGCGGCGGACGGGUGAGUAAUGCCUGGGAAAUUGCCCAGUCGAGGGGGAUAACAGUUGGAAACGACUGCUAAUACCGCAUACGCCCUACGGGGGAAAGCAGGGGACCUUCGGGCCUUGCGCGAUUGGAUAUGCCCAGGUGGGAUUAGCUAGUUGGUGAGGUAAUGGCUCACCAAGGCGACGAUCCCUAGCUGGUCUGAGAGGAUGAGCAGCCACACUGGAACUGAGACACGGUCCAGACUCCUACGGGAGGCAGCAGUGGGGAAUAUUGCACAAUGGGGGAAACCCUGAUGCAGCCAUGCCGCGUGUGUGAAGAAGGCCUUCGGGUUGUAAAGCACUUUCAGCGAGGAGGAAAGGUUGAUGCCUAAUACGUAUCAACUGUGACGUUACUCGCAGAAGAAGCACCGGCUAACUACGUGCCAGCCGCCGCGGUAAUAC